GGCCGGUUCGUCUAGUGGUUAGGACUCAUGGUUUUCAUCCAUGCAACAGGGGUUCGAUUCCCCUACCGGCUG
rnacentral:tRNA from 1 species